AACGCACGAGACCUGCGGACCUGCGGAGGGAUCAUUACCGAGUUUACAACUCCCAAACCCAUGUGAACAUACCUAUCGUUGCUUCGGCGGGAUCGCCCCGGGCGCCUUGUGUGCCCCGGAUCCAGGCACCCGCCGGGGGACCUUAACUCUUGUUUUAUUUAGAAUCUUCUGAGUAGUUUUUACAAAUAAAUAAAAACUUUCAACAACGGAUCUCU
rnacentral:misc_RNA from 1 species